CAAGGAUUCCCCUAGUAACUGCGAGUGAAGAGGGAAGAGCUCAAAUUUAAAAUCUGGCAGUAUUUUGCUGUCUGAGUUGUAAUCUAGAGAAGUGCUGCCCGUGCUGGACCAUGUACAAGUCUCCUGGAAUGGAGCCUCACAGAGGGUGAGAAUCCCGUCUUUGACAUGGACUCCCAGUGCAUUUGUGGUGUGCUCUCAAAGAGUCGAGUUGUUUGGGAAUGCAGCUCUAAAUGGGUGGUAAACUCCAUCUAAAGCUAAAUAUUGGCGAGAGACCGAUAGUGAACAAGUACCGUGAGGGAAAGAUGAAAAGAACUUUGGAAAGAGAGUUAAACAGUAUGUGAAAUUGUUGAAAGGGAAAUGCUUAAAGUCAGUCAUGUCAGCCAGGGAUCAACCUAGUAUUUCUGGGUGUACUUCCUGAUCUGAUGGGCCAACAUCAGUUUUGACUGCUGGAAAAGGGUAGAGGGAAUGUGGCACCUUUUGGUGUGUUAUAGCUCUCUGUCAGAUGCAGUGGUCAGGACUGAGGGGAAAGGCAGCAUGCCACAAAGGCUGGGUUUCGACCACGUUCAUGCUGAGGAUGUUGGCAUAAUGGCUUUAAUCGACCCGUCUUGAAACACGGACCAAGGAGUCUAACAUGCCUGCAAGUGUUUGGGUGUCAAACCCAAGUGCGGAAUGAAAGUGAAAGGUUGAGAUCCCUGUCACAGGGGAGCAUCGAUGCCCAGACCUGAACCUUUUUAGCGAAGGAUCUGCGGUAGAGCAUGCAUGUUAGGACCCGAAAGAUGGUGAACUAUGCCUGAAUAGGGUGAAGCCAGAGGAAACUCUGGUGGAGGCUCGUAGCGAUUCUGACGUGCAAAUCGAUCGUCGAAUUUGGGUAUAGGGGCG
rnacentral:rRNA from 1 species